rnacentral:rRNA from 1 species
GAUGAACGCUGGCGGCGUGCCUAAUACAUGCAAGUCGAGCGAACGGACGAGAAGCUUGCUUUUCUGAUGUUAGCGGCGGACGGGUGAGUAACACGUGGAUAACCUACCUAUAAGACUGGUAUAACUUCGGGAAACCGGAGCUAAUACCGGAUAAUAUUUUGAACCGCAUGGUUCAAAAGUGAAAGACGGUCUUGCUGUCACUAAUAGAUGGAUCCGCGCUGCAUUAGCUAGUUGGUAAGGUAACGGCUUACCAAGGCAACGAUGCAUAGCCGACCUGUGAGGGUGGUCGGCCGCACUGGAACUGAGACACGGUCCAGACUCCUGCGGGAGGCAGCAGUAGGGAAUCUUCCGCAAUGGGCGAAAGCCUGACGGAGCAACGCCGCGUGAGUGAUGAAAGUCUUCGGAUCGUAAUACUCUGUUAUUAGGGAAGAACAUAUGUGUAAGUAACUGUGCACAUCUUGACGGUACCUAAUCAGAAAGCCACGGCUAACUACGUG